GACGAACGCUGGCGGCGUGCUUAACACAUGCAAGUCGAACGGAAAGGCCCUGCUUUUGUGGGGUGCUCGAGUGGCGAACGGGUGAGUAACACGUGAGUAACCUGCCCUUGACUUUGGGAUAACUUCAGGAAACUGGGGCUAAUACCGGAUAGGAGCUCCUGCUGCAUGGUGGGGGUUGGAAAGUUUCGGCGGGUGGGGAUGGACUCGCGGCUUAUCAGCUUGCUGGUGGGGUAGUGGCUUACCAAGGCUUUGACGGGUAGCCGGCCUGAGAGGGUGACCGGCCACAUUGGGACUGAGAUACGGCCCAGACUCCUACGGGAGGCAGCAGUGGGGAAUAUUGCACAAUGGGCGGAAGCCUGAUGCAGCAACGCCGCGUGCGGGAUGACGGCCUUCGGGUUGUAAACCGCUUUCGCCUGUGACGAAGCGUGAGUGACGGUAAUGGGUAAAGAAGCACCGGCUAACUACGUG
rnacentral:rRNA from 1 species